rnacentral:rRNA from 1 species
CCUACGGGUGGCAGCAGUGAGGAAUAUUGGUCAAUGGACGAAAGUCUGAACCAGCCAUGUCGCGUGCAGGAUGACUGCUCUAUGAGUUGUAAACUUCUUUUAUACGGGAGUAAACUCAGAUACGUGUAUCUUUUUGUAUGUAUCCUACGAAUAAGGAUCGGCUAACUCCGUGCCAGCAGCCGCGGUAAUACGGAGGAUUCAAGCGUUAUCCGGAUUUAUUGGGUUUAAAGGGUGCGUAGGCGGUCGGUUAAGUUAGUUGUGAAAUUCUGAGGCUCAACCUUGGAAUUGCAUUUGAUACUGUUCGGCUAGAGUGCAGUAGAGGUAGGCGGAAUGUGUGGUGUAGCGGUGAAAUGCUUAGAGAUCAUAAAGAACACCGAUUGCGAAGGCAGCUUAC